rnacentral:misc_RNA from 1 species
AAGUCGUAACAAGGUUUCCGUAGGUGAACCUGCGGAAGGAUCAUUCUUGUAUCUCAACCACUUUCCACAGUGGCAAACUAUGUGAACUGUACAACUCACUUUGUGCUUCAUGUAUUAGCUUUAUGCUGAUGCGGUGCUGUGACGAAGUGGGCCGGCUUGGCGAAAGGCGGUGCUACUAGCACGCGCGUCGUCUGACUUGCGGUCCGCUUGUUCGCCCUGCACCACGCACGUUUCAACGUACCAUCAAACCCUUUAAACUUACGCUAUACUUAAAAUUAAUACAACUUUUAGCAACGGAUCUCUAGGCUCUC